AAUAAACACUAAUAAAAAAAAAUAAUAAUAAUAAUAAACAUUAAUGGACAGAAAAAAAGUAGCUCUAUAUAUAUUGAGUGUUUUUACUCACUUUUUGUCUCUCUCUAACGACGUUAUUUCUCACACAGCGUCAAUAAUAUGCACAUCACAUCAUGUGGCAGAUUAUGCAAAUUAGGUGAUGACGUCAUUCAGCGACUUCUAGCGACUUUUAGACCUGCCAAUAGCUACUUUCCUUACUGAGGAGUUGGCAACACUGCAAUCAAGGCAAGAUACUUUCCCUAGUUUCUACGCUUCCGUUGAAGUCUAUACCACGACGAAAACAUGACUUCCCGACAGCAGGGGGCGCACCCGAAAGAAACUGAAAUGCGCCGGUUUGGCUGAGGAAGAAAGACGUGACACCAUAGCUCAGUGCAGCUAACAGCAUCAGCACCCCACAGCAUCCACUGAUGAGGUGAAGGUCAUCAAAGUUCUGGGCUGGAUGGAAGGCUACCAGAUCAUCAACCUGCUUUGAGACACGCCGACUUCCAUCACAAGACUACCAAGACUUGAACAAUUCAAAAUUUUAUGUAAUCUUUAAACAUACGGCAGAUGAUUUGAGCUUGUUUAAAAAUAACUUAAUAUGUAACCGUUUUAGUUCCCAGUAUUAACUACUUUGAUCACUAACUGUUGCAGCAUGUCCUUCAUAGCUCUUAGUGGAGCCGUUUAGGCU